CUACGGGUUGCACCAGUCGAGAAUCUUUCCCAAUGCCCGAAAGGGUGAGGAUGCGACGCCGCGUGGGGGAUGAAGGUUUUCGGAUUGUAAACCCCUUUUAUUGAAGAAGAAAGCCAUAAAGUUAAUAGCUUAUUGGUAUGACGUUAUUCAAUGAAUAAGUCACGGCUAACUCCGUGCCAGCAGCCGCGGUAAUACGGAGGUGGCAAGCGUUACUCGGAAUUACUGGGUGUAAAGGGUCCGCAGGCGGCUAAGUAAGUAGAGGGUGAAAUCCUUUAGCUCAACUAAAGAAAUGCCUUCUAUACUGCUUAGCUUGAGGGCAAAAGAGGAGAGCAGAACUGCCGGUGUAAAGGUGGAAUUUGUGGAUAUCGGCAGGAAUGUCAGCGGCGAAGGCGGCUCUCUGGGUUGUUCCUGACGCUCAGGGACGAAAGCUAGGGGAGCAAACAGGAUUAGAUACCCGAGUGGUC
rnacentral:rRNA from 1 species